rnacentral:rRNA from 1 species
GAUGAACGCUAGCGGCAGGCCUAAUACAUGCAAGUCGAACGGUGUCUUCGGACAUAGUGGCGCACGGGUGCGUAACACGUAUGCAACCUACCUUACAUUGGGGGAUAGCCUUUCGAAAGGGAGAUUAAUACCGCAUAAGACAGUAACUAGGCAUCUAGUAGCUGUUAAAGAUUUAUCGAUGUAAGCUGGGCAUGCGUCCAAUUAGCUAGUUGGUGAGGUAACGGCUCACCAAGGCAAUGAUUGGUAGGGGAACUGAGAGGUCAAUCCCCCACACUGGCACGGAGCUACGGGCCAGACUCCUACGGGAGGCAGCAGUAGGGAAUAUUGGGCAAUGGACGCAAGUCUGACCCAGCCAUGCCGCGUGCAGGAUGAAGGCGUUAUGCGUUGUAAACUGCUUUUAUACAGGAAGAAACGACUCUUGCGAGAGGCAUUGACGGUACUGUAUGAAUAAGCACCGGCUAACUCCGUGCCAGCCGCCGCGGUAACAC